UAAGUUGUUGUGGUUAAAAGCUCGUAGUUGAACCUUGGGCCUGGCUGGCCGGUCCGCCUCACCGCGUGUACUGGUCCGGCCGGGCCUUUCCCUCUGUGGAACCCCAUGCCCUUCACUGGGUGUGGCGGGGAAACAGGACUUUUACUUUGAAAAAAUUAGAGUGCUCCAGGCAGGCCUAUGCUCGAAUACAUUAGCAUGGAAUAAUAGAAUAGGACGUGUGGUUCUAUUUUGUUGGUUUCUAGGACCGCCGUAAUGAUUAAUAGGGACAGUCGGGGGCAUCAGUAUUCAAUUGUCAGAGGUGAAAUUCUUGGAUUUAUUGAAGACUAACUACUGCGAAAGCAUUUGCCAAGGAUGUUUUCAUUAAUCAGGAACGAAAGUUAGGGGAUCGAGGACGACCAGAUACCGUCGUAGUCUUAACCAUAAACUAUGCCGACUAGGGAUCGGACGGUGUUAUUUUUUGACCCGUUCGGCA
rnacentral:rRNA from 1 species